rnacentral:rRNA from 1 species
AUGGCGCCGGGCUCCAAGAAGGGUGUGGAUGGGAGCGACCCGAUGGCCACGCUCACCGACGACAUCCUCGCCGAUAUCAUCUCGCGCGUGCCGUACAAGUCCACCUGCUGCUGCAAGUGCGUCUCCAAGCGUUGGCGAGACCUCAUCUCCCACCGUGACCGCCGAAAGAAGAUGCCGCAGUCCAUCGUCGGCUUCUUCUACCAAGGUUACAACAAUUUUCGCUCCCCUAGAAAGGCUCGUUAUUUUUCCAAUCUGUCACGGCAACGCUAUCCUCUGGUCGACCCCUCACUGUCGUUCCUGCCCAAUUGCGAGCGCCUUGACAUUUCAGACGGCUGCAAUGGGCUCCUCCUCUGCUGCUGCUGGAAGUCGAUUGAUUCCGUGACAAUGGAUUAUGUGGGACAGUUGUAUUUUGUAAAUAGUCCUGGUGAUUCUGAUGGUUCUGAAUUAUCAAUCUGGGUUCUUGAGGACUUCGUUACAGAAAAAUGGACUUUGAAGCACAAUUCAACACUGAAACGAUCUACGUAUGCGUUAAGACCUAGCGCUCUUGAGUUAUUGCUGUACAUUUGUAGACGCUUCCCUGUCCCUCUGUUGGGUACAGUUCCGCUGCCCUUCAAUCAUCCAGGUGCUAUAUGA